GGGCGUUUAGCUCAGUGGUUUAGAGCGUUCGCCUCACACGCGAAAGGUCGUAGGUUCAACUCCUACAACGCCCA
rnacentral:tRNA from 1 species